UCUGAAAAGGACUCUCCCCCUUCCUCCCUGGGUAUAAAGAGAUCCUGCCUGCUUGUUAUCGACUUGUUAGAGUUUAUAAGAGCGGGCAGGAGGCUAACUUGCAGAAAGGCCUUUUAUGCCACUUGAAUAUGUGGCUUCCUUAUUAUAGCCUGCCAUGCUGCCAGGAUGGCGGCUGGAGAGGAGAGGAGCGAGUCGCAUUGCCAACUGGCUAUAAAUUUCAUGAACAUCAUAAAUGAGAGCAAGCACAGACUCCAAAUUCAGCAAGAGUUGCCCUCCACUUCACCAGAAACAGGCCCAAUUUGGGGGGAAAGCAAUCAGUGGAUGAGGACUCUCCUAUUACUGCUUCUGAACUACUCCACAUCUUAUAUAAUGAUGAUAAUGGCUGUCAUGCCUAUUGCAAAAAGUUGUCAACUUCUCUUGAUCUGAAGAGAGCGGUAGACAGAUUUGCUGGUUCUCACAAGGCACAUCCAGCUUUAUUAAGGAAGUAAAUAAAUUAUUAACAUUAUUUACCUCUCUUCUAUAAUGUAUAUAUUUAAUUGAUGUACAUAGUAUUAUACCUGCUCCCCGAAUAAAAGUCCAUAUCACUC